rnacentral:rRNA from 1 species
AUUGAACGCUGGCGGCAUGCUUUACACAUGCAAGUCGAACGGUAACAGGUUAAGCUGACGAGUGGCGAACGGGUGAGUAAUGCAUCGGAACGUGCCCGAUCGUGGGGGAUAACGUAGCGAAAGCUGCGCUAAUACCGCAUACGAUCUGAGGAUGAAAACGGGGGACCGUAAGGCCUCGCGCGAUCGGAGCGGCCGGUGUCAGAUUAGGUAGUUGGUGGGGUAAAGGCUCACCAAGCCGACGAUUUGUAGCUGGUCUGAGAGGACGACCAGCCACACUGGGACUGAGACACGGCCCAGACUCCUACGGGAGGCAGCAGUGGGGAAUUUUGGACAAUGGGCGCAAGCCUGAUCCAGCAAUGCCGCGUGCAGGAAGAAGGCCUUCGGGUUGUAAACUGCUUUUGUACGGAGCGAAAAGGCUCUCUCUAAUACAGGGGGUUCAUGACGGUACCGUAAGAAUAAGCACCGGCUAACUACGUGCCAGCAGCCGCGGUAA